rnacentral:rRNA from 1 species
GAUGAACGCUGGCGGCGUGCCUAAUACAUGCAAGUCGAGCGAACGGACGAGAAGCUUGCUUCUCUGAUGUUAGCGGCGGACGGGUGAGUAACACGUGGACAACCUACCUAUAAGACUGGGAUAACUUCGGGAAACCGUAGCUAAUACCGGAUAAUAUUUUGAACCGCAUGGUUCAAAAGUGAAAGACGGUCUUGCUGUCACUUAUAGAUGGAUCCGCGCUGCAUUAGCUAGUUGGUAAGGUAACGGCUUACCAAGGCAACGAUGCAUAGCCGACCUGAGAGGGUGAUCGGCCACACUGGAACUGAGACACGGUCCAGACUCCUACGGGAGGCAGCAGUAGGGAAUCUUCCGCAAUGGGCGAAAGCAUGACGGAGCAACGCCGCGUGAGUGAUGAAGGUCUUCGGAUCGUAAAACUCUGUUAUUAGGGAAGAACAUAUGUGUAAGUAACUGUGCACAUCUUGACGGUACCUAAUCAGAAAGCCACGGCUAACUACGUG